UCAUUUACAGACCUUUCGGGUUAUGUUUAGUACAUUGGAGUUAUUGGUGUCAUACAAAAGAAAAAUGCAUUAUUAUUAGAUUUGUAGAAAUUAUUAUUUGACUCUGAUACAGCUAAUAGUCAUGUGAUGCGUACAUGAUGUAUGGAACUUUACAACCAGAAUAGAGUGAAAUAAGGAGGGGCUUCGAGUUUUAUCUUAGAUUUGGACAUCGACGCAUCUUUAAUAUGAAAUUUUUCUAUGUACUUCUGCUUUUGAGCGUUGUUUGCUCUGUGGAAGGAGGUACUUGUGAUGGAAACAUUUACAUUCCUAUCAUCGUAAUUCUCUGUGAAGCAAUGCUGCUUUCUUUAGCCGUAAAUGUCUACAUUAUCUGCAUGACAAGAUAUAGAGACUCGUGCCAGAACUUUUACAAUAAUUAUAUUGCUGUCUGGUGUAGUCGUGGAACAGCGAAUGAGCCUGAGCAAUCAGAUGACCAGGUUCCAGACGACACAUUAUACUCUCUGAGUGUUUCCAGAGACAGAGAGUGUGAGGAACGAGCAGAAGUGAACCCCAAUGAGUGUGUGUACUCUGCUGUGAAAACCUAGAAAAGAUUAGACCUCAUCAAAAACGUAUGCUAAAAAAUUUUUAUCUUUCGCUCUGUUAUUGUUUUUCAUUUUUGUUUUCAUUUUCAUUAAGUUUAUCUGUCAUUUAUAGUUAAGAAAAUGUUGCAUACUUUUCUGAAUAUGUUAAAGUUUUGCAGUGUGAAAAUAAAUAAAUAAACAGAGAUGCUUGUGAACUACUGUCCCAGCACAAGAGUCAAAGAGCUGAAGUCUAGUGGAUAGUUUAUUGUAGAACCACCUCACUCACAGUUUAUCAGGUUUCAGUGGACACUGUUAGUAGUUUUUGGUUGUUAAUUAGGUUCACUGUUGGUUAUCGGCUGGUAUCUGUAUCUUCUGGCUAAAUGCAAAUGAGCAAUUAACACAUUUCUGUGCGAUAUGUGCGGUUACAUGAGAAGCAUGCACUUUAAAGAAACUGGUUGCGUAAGACAGUAAAUUCAUAUAUCUGUGAAUUGUGUGGUCGAGAAAAAAAAAUAUUUAGCUUUUUUUUCAUUAUAUUUACUAAAGAAUAUUUUGGAAGGAUUUGGAAUUCUAUAUUAACAGAAAAAUGGAGUUUAAGAUCGAACAUUUUAUAUUUUAUGUCAUUUUUUUAUACAAAAAACGAAAAUGUAAAUUAUAAAGAACAACAUAUUAUACAGUUGUUUAUUUUGUUAGGAAAAUUCCAUAUACAGUACAUGAGAAAAAGUGGGCUCAAUGUAAACCAAAUUUUGCACAUUUUAUAAAUGAUUUUAAAUUGGAACAAACAAAAAAGCACUGAAAACAUGUAAUGCUCUGAAAUCAUUGAAAUGUAUUUCAUUUUCUUUUUCUCUCCCUCACUCUCUUUUUUCUUCUCUCUGGCAGCUAAUGUUAAUUUGAUAACGCAAGUAUGUAAUUUCUCAUGUUCUUGUGGCAUUGAAUUAAUAAAUCAUAAAAGAAAGAAAGAAAGAAACCGGUUGCUGUCAGCAGUUCAAAACAUAGCAGAUGCAUUUUUCUAUUGAUUUAGCCUUUGUGUGAUGUAGGACUUAAUGUGAUUUACUUUUUUUUUUUUUAUCAUAUGUCUGAAAAUUUUAUUUCAUACAGGCCAGCACAGAAGUGAAUGUACUAAUGUUGUAAAUUUACAAUUCAACAAGUUUGUUUGACUUGAAAUGCUAUGUAUUGUGACUGAAAUGCUCAUAUUUUGGUGACAAUAAAUGGUUAACAGCACAAGCUUUGUCGUUGCCUGCAAUCUCAAAGCUCACCUUAUGAGGGCAGCAGAACUCACUCAUUUUAAAAUGGUUGAAAAAACGAUUUGACUAUAUUUGAAUAUAAUGAGCUGAUUCUUAUACUAAAUUGUAGGCUAGUCUUACAAUAUGAUUGUAUUACUCUAGAUGUUGGAUGGGCAAAGGUCGUAAAGAUAUGGUGAUAGCUACUAAAAUGCAUUCAACACUUUCUGUGAUUCAUCAAGUUUUCUGAGCAUUGUCAGAUGAAUUAUGAAAUUAUUUUGCCCAUGAACACAGAAAGAUCUGUCACAUCAGAUGAACAUCACAGCCUCCUGAAGCUCUCAGAUUGUGGCUCCUCUCAUGACUUUGUUCUUUGAAUCUGCUGGAUGACUCAGGAUUUAUAUGCUUGACCCCAGAGCUGCCCCAGACGUGACAGACAGUGUUAGCAUAUGCAUUACCGAAAGGGCCAAAAUAACUGCACUGUUAAAGAGGGAUUUUUACCAUUCAACUGAACUAUGUGCAUGUAUUUUAGACUCAUUGUUCUUGUUCCAUCAAUGCAGUACGGUAUGACCCUUUUCAGGAGUUGCAAUUUAUUAGAACUCUCUCUUUUAUUACAAUUUAAAAUCAGAUCAAAGCUCACAUACACUAAAAUACUGAAACGCUUAUGAUGCUGAUUCAAAACAACAACGCCGGUGACUGACAGUCAAACAAAGUGCGGUUCGAGCGGUCCACCCCCACAGCUGAACUAGAAGUUUUGAUUGUUUUUUUUACCCGAGCCAGACCUGUCUGUUAUUGGCUGAAGCGUAGGGGCUCCACCCUAGGAUUUUGAAAAAUUCCUGUUAAAAAUGCCAGCUCGCUCUGUUAUCCAUCAGCGCCUUCUUUGUCUAUUUUUUAGUUGAAUACACUAGUUUUAUUCUACUCUAGUAAAAGUAAAAGUACCACAAUUUAAUUAUAUUCUAUAUCUACUCAAGAAAGUAGAAAAAAAGUAAAAUGUACUUAAGUACUGUAACAAAAGUAUUUGUAAUUAGUUACUCUCCACCUCUGCUUUUUAUCAAGACCUACAACACAUGCAACAUUUUUUUUAAGUGUGAUGAAAAUGUUACACCCCUUACCAUAUACUAUGAUGCUCUGUGUCCCGGCGCGAUGAGACAAAACCAAUAAACCCAUUACAAACAAGGCAUUUGUUUGCAAGAACAUUAGGCUGGCGUUAUGCAAAUCUUCCCACAUUGUGACGCGGACAUGUGGGGGUGUGUUAUAACGAGCCGUUUUAGGAGGGUGUGGUUGACUCUUAAAUUUAUAAAGAAUAUCUCUUUGGAUUUCAG